AACACAAGUGCACUGCAGCUCGCUGGAUGGUAGACUACGGAAGGUGCCGUGCGGCUAACACACUGUUGAAGUUCAUUUCUUUUCUUCUUUGCUUUUUCAGAUUCCGACUGGGCACGAACACUGCAGUUUGCCUGAGUCAUCGGUGCGGUGCGGCUGGGUGCCUGUGCGAGUCCACACCGUCAUUGUUUGAUGCAGUUCGGAUGUGCAACUAUUGUUGCUCGGAUGCACACCCGCGGUUUGGGAUGCGCAUCGAGAUGUAGUUCCAGGAGAAGCUCGACCAUGUGUUGUUCGUUCUUGAAUAAACUUUUUGAAGAAGACAAAAGAGUAGUUCACUUCAAUUUGUGUAGCAGCUCAUUGCCUCAGUAUGAAAAUGCAAUUUGUUUCAUGUGAAAAUUCAGUCGACUACAUAAACACACCUGCAGUGCGUUUGGUCCUCGGAUGUGGUUCACUUUUGAGAGCGAUGCUGUUCAUUUGCGUCCAACAUAAAAAGUGUAAAAAAAUAGCGAAAAAACAAAAUAGUAAUGUCGUUCACUUCGAUAUAUGUUACGGUUCACUUGCUCUGUCUCUGUGGCCCACCCUCGUUCAUAAAAAAACUUGGAAAAAAGACAACAAAAACUUUUGCGAGAAAGUUUAUGU
rnacentral:lncRNA from 1 species